CCUACGGGCGCUGCAGUGGGGAAUAUUGGACAAUGGGCGAAAGCCUGAUCCAGCCAUGCCGCGUGUGUGAAGAAGGCCUUCGGGUUGUAAAGCACUUUCAGUGGGGAAGAAAGCCUUGGGGCUAAUACCCUCGAGGAAGGACAUCACCCACAGAAGAAGCACCGGCUAACUCCGUGCCAGCAGCCGCGGUAAUACGGAGGGUGCGAGCGUUAAUCGGAAUUACUGGGCGUAAAGCGCGCGUAGGCGGUCUGAUAAGCCGGUUGUGAAAGCCCCGGGCUCAACCUGGGAACGGCAUCCGGAACUGUCAGGCUAGAGUGCAGGAGAGGAAGGUAGAAUUCCCGGUGUAGCGGUGAAAUGCGUAGAGAUCGGGAGGAAUACCAGUGGCGAAGGCGGCCUUCUGGACUGACACUGACGCUGAGGUGCGAAAGCGUGGGUAGCAAACAGGAUUAGAUACCCCUGUAGUC
rnacentral:rRNA from 1 species